rnacentral:rRNA from 1 species
CGUGUAGGCGGAUCAGCAAGCCUGGUGUUAAAUAUCCUGGCUUAACCAGGGGGCAGCGCUGGGAACUGUUGAUCUAGAGUUCAGGAGGGGGAGCUGGAAUUCCUGGUGUAGGGGUGAAAUCUGUAGAUAUCAGGAAGAACACCGGUGGCGAAGGCGAGCUCCUGGCCAUGGACUGACGCUGAGGCGCGAAAGCGUGGGGAGCGAACA